rnacentral:rRNA from 1 species
UAUUGGUCAAUAGCCCAACGGCUGAACCAGCAAUUUGCAAUAAUGAGGACGGGACAAAUUGUCUUGCAGCAUCUCGAUGCUGCCUUGGGUCCAGUGGUUUAUCCACAUAUAGUUAUGAAUAGAAUAUUGAUAAUGACAGCUUUCUGUUCAAAGGUCUCGACCAAAUCACGUGCCAGCAGUCGCGGUAAUACGAGGGAGACUAGUGUUAUUCAUCUUUAAUUGGUUUAAAGGGUACCUAGACAGUUAAUUUAGCCCCAAUCACAGGGUACAUAUUAUACUAGAGUUUUAUAAAAGAGGAUAAGUUUGGUACUAACAGAGUAGAGAUGAAAUUCUUUGAUACUGUUAUGAACGGGUAACGGCGAAAGCGAUCCUUUAUGUAAAAACUGACGUUGAGGGACGAAGGCAUUGAUAACAAACAGGAUUAGAUACCCUAAUAGUCUCUGCAGAAAAUUAUGAGUGCCAUAGAUAAGAAUUAUUUUUAUUUAUAAAUGAAAGUGUAAGCAUUCCACCUCAAGAGUAAUGUGGCAACGCAGGAACUGAAAUCAUUAGACCGUUUCUGAAACCAGUAGUGAAGUAUGUUAUUUAAUUUGAUAAUCCACAAAAAACCUUACCACAAUUUGAAUAUUUAUAGUGAUAUUAUUCCUAUUUAUACAAGUGUUGCAUGGCUGUCUUUAGUUAAUGUUGUGAAACGCAGGUUAGAUCCAUUAAAUUAACGAAAACCCUUGCCUUAUUUGUUUUUAUAAGGCAGUUCUCUAGUAUAUCAGAUUAGAUAACAGGGAUCAAGACAAGUAAUCA